UACAGAGGUCCCAAGCGUUGUUCGGAUUCACUGGGCGUAAAGGGUGCGCAGGUGGUCGGGUAAGUCUGACGUGAAAUCCCGCAGCUUAACUGCGGAAUGGCAUUGGAUACUAUUCGGCUAGAGGGUUGGAGGGGGGACUGGAAUUCUCGGUGUAGCAGUGAAAUGCGUAGAUAUCGAGAGGAACACCAGUGGCGAAGGCGCCGCUCUGGGCCGUGACUGACGCUGAGGCAGCGAAAGCGUGGGUAGCAAACAGG
rnacentral:rRNA from 1 species